GCCCUGGUAGCUCAACGGUAGAGCACCUGCCUCGUAAGCAGGGGGUUGAGGGUUCGAAUCCCUCCCAGGGCU
rnacentral:tRNA from 1 species